rnacentral:rRNA from 1 species
UAGGGAAUCUUCCACAAUGGGCGCAAGCCUGAUGGAGCAACACCGCGUGAGUGAAGAAGGGUUUCGGCUCGUAAAGCUCUGUUGUUAAAGAAGAACAUAUCUGAGAGUAACUGUUCAGGUAUUGACGGUAUUUAACCAGAAAGCCACGGCUAACUACGUGCUAG